rnacentral:rRNA from 1 species
ACGAACGCUGGCGGCGUGCUUAACACAUGCAAGUCGAACGGAAAGGCCCUGCUUGCAGGGUACUCGAGUGGCGAACGGGUGAGUAACACGUGGGUGAUCUGCCCUGCACUUCGGGAUAAGCCUGGGAAACUGGGUCUAAUACCGGAUAGGAGCCAUUUUUAGUGUGAUGGUUGGAAAGUUUUUUCGGUGUAGGAUGAGCUCGCGGCCUAUCAGCUUGUUGGUGGGGUAAUGGCCUACCAAGGCGGCGACGGGUAGUCGGCCUGAGAGGGUGGACGGCCACAUUGGGACUGAGAUACGGCCCAGACUCCUACGGGAGGCAGCAGUGGGGAAGAUUGCACAAUGGGCGCAAGCCUGAUGCAGCGACGCCGCGUGGGGGAUGACGGCCUUCGGGUUGUAAACUCCUUUCGCUAGGGACGAAGCUUUUUGUGACGGUACCUAGAUAAGAAGCACCGGCUAACUACGUG